CGGGGUGUGGCGCAGCCCGGUUAGCGCGCGUGCUUUGGGAGCACGAAGUCGGAGGUUCGAAUCCUCUCACCCCGACCA
rnacentral:tRNA from 2 species